rnacentral:rRNA from 1 species
GACGAACGCUGGCGGCGUGCUUAACACAUGCAAGUCGAACGGAAAGGCCUGCUUUCCCUUGUGGAUUGCGGGUACUCGAGUGGCGAACGGGUGAGUAACACGUGAGUUAUCUGCCCCCAACUUGGGUAUAAGCCUGGGAAACUGGGUCUAAUUCCCGAUAGGACUGCAGGGUGGUGCCUGUGGUGGAAAACGAUUGUCUAGUGGUUGGGGAUGAGCUCGCGGCCUAUCAGCUUGUUGGUGGGGUAAUGGCCUACCAAGGCGGCGACGGGUAGCCGGCCUGGGAGGGUGGACGGCCACAUUGGGACUGAGAUACGGCGCAGACUCCUACGGGAGGCAGCAGUGGGGAAUAUUGCACGAUGGGCGGAAGCCUGAUGCAGCGACGCCGCGUGGGGGAUGACGGCCUUCGGGUGGUAAACUCCUUUCGACCGCGAGGAAGCCACCUGGUUGGAAGGGUGGUGACGGUAGUGGUAGAAGAAGCACCGGCUAACUACGUG